AAAAAUAAUAAUAAGUUGAUUCAACAUAACAACUUCAAUUUCAUGCUUGAAAUGCUCCUACUUAUCACAAAAGAUUAUAUUCAGCCAUUUCAAAAAAUUGUAUUUGUGUUAUACAGUAAAUGUAAGGAUGUUUGCUCCUCUGUUUCAAAUUAACAAGCUUUAAAAGGGACCAUUUAACAGUUUUCACCCUUAACCACAAGUCUUACGUCAAUGGCCUGAAAAACUGCUUUCAGACUUGUAAAAUUAUUCUCUACAAGCCUACAGAAUUCAACUAAAAUUUGAAAAAAAAUGAACUUUGGACUUGUGAACUCAAAAGUCAAUGGCCUGACCAUUAUAAAUUGAGAUUUUAUAGAUAAAAGCAGAAAAAAAAUAUAGGUCAUGUCCUGGUUUUUGAGAUAUAAUAAUUUGAAAAUUUGGCCAGGAAUGAUUUCCCUAGACUUUUCAAUCAUUUAACAUUGGCUACUUUUUCUCUCUCAAAAACUCUGAAAAAAAUAACAAGGAGUUUAUUA
rnacentral:lncRNA from 1 species